UACGAAGGGGGCUAGCGUUGUUCGGAAUUACUGGGCGUAAAGCGUAUGCAGGCGGAUCGUUAAGUCGGGGGUGAAAUCCCGAGGCUCAACCUCGGAACUGCCUUCGAUACUGGCGAUCUUGAGUCCGGGAGAGGUGAGUGGAACUCCGAGUGUAGAGGUGAAAUUCGUAGAUAUUCGGAAGAACACCAGUGGCGAAGGCGGCUCACUGGCCCGGUACUGACGCUGAGAUACGAAAGCGUGGGGAGCAAACA
rnacentral:rRNA from 1 species